rnacentral:rRNA from 1 species
AACGAACGCUGGCGGCAGGCUUAACACAUGCAAGUCGAACGGGUGUAGCAAUACAUCAGUGGCAGACGGGUGAGUAACACGUGGGAACCUUCCUAGGGGUACGGAACAACUCAGGGAAACUUGAGCUAAUACCGUAUACGUCCGUGAGGAGAAAGAUUUAUCGCCCUUAGACGGGCCCGUGUCGGAUUAGCUAGUUGGUGGGGUAACGGCCUACCAAGGCGACGAUCCGUAGCUGAUCUUAGAGGAUGAUCAGCCACACUGGGACUGAGACACGGCCCAGACUCCUACGGGAGGCAGCAGUGGGGAAUUUUGGACAAUGGGCGCAAGCCUGAUCCAGCCAUGCCGCGUGAGUGAAGAAGGUCUUCGGAUUGUAAAGCUCUUUUGCCAGGGACGAUAAUGACGGUACCUGGAGAAUAAGCCCCGGCAAACUUCGUGCCAGCAGCCGCGGUAACAC